UGCUGGCCAACACAUUACAGCCCCCACAAUGCAACUGUAGAGAACCAACUCCUGAUCCGGUUGCAGAGAGGUUUGUACAGCUGGGAUGUCUGGGCGGCGGAGGCUAUGGGACGGUCUACGCUGGAUACCGCAGAGAAGACAACCUACCUGUGGCUAUAAAACGUGUCCCCUUGGCCAAAGUGUUACGCAUACCUGUGACUCAGGAUGGACAGCAGGUGGAGUAUCCCUUGGAGGUGGUAUUAUUGCGGAUCGUGGGC